rnacentral:rRNA from 1 species
GACGGAGGGGGCAAGCGUUGUUCGGAAUCACUGGGCGUAAAGCGCGCGUAGGCGGCCCUGCCAGUUAGGCGUGAAAGGCCCGGGCUCAACCCGGGAAUGGCGCUUAAGACGGCGGGGCUGGAGUCCGGGAGAGGGUGGUGGAAUUCCCAGUGUAGAGGUGAAAUUCGUAGAGAUUGGGAGGAACACCAGUGGCGAAGGCGGCCACCUGGCCCGGCACUGACGCUGAAGCGCGAAAGCGUGGGGAGCAAACAGGAUUAGAAACCCUUGUAGUCC